rnacentral:rRNA from 1 species
UACGUAGGGUGCGAGCGUUGUCCGGAAUUACUGGGCGUAAAGAGCUCGUAGGCGGUUUGUCGCGUCUGCUGUGAAAAUCCAGGGCUUAACCCUGGACCUGCAGUGGGUACGGGCAGACUAGAGUGCGGUAGGGGAGAUCGGAAUUCCGUGGUGUAAGCGGUGAAAUGCGCAGAAUAUCAGGAGGAACACCUAUUGCGAAGGCAGCUCGCUGGACGUAACCUGACGCUGAGACGCGAAGCGUGGGGAGCAAACAGG